UACAGAGGGGGCAAGCGUUAUUCGGAAUUAUUGGGCGUAAAGGGCGCGUAGGCGGCUUGGCAAGUGGAUGGUGAAAUCCCUCGGCUUAACCGAGGAACUGCCGUCCAAACUGCUUCGCUUGAGACCGGGGAGAGGUGAGUGGAAUUCCCAGUGUAGCGGUGAAAUGCGUAGAUAUUGGGAGGAACACCAGUGGCGAAGGCGGCUCACUGGACCGGUACUGACGCUGAUGCGCGAAAGCGUGGGGAGCAAACGGG
rnacentral:rRNA from 1 species